rnacentral:rRNA from 1 species
UACGUAGGGUGCGAGCGUUGUCCGGAAUUAUUGGGCGUAAAGGGCGCGUAGGCGGUUCGUACAGUCAGACGUGAAAUUCCCGGGCUCAACCUGGGGGCUGCGUUUGAUACGUGCGGACUUGAGUUCGGAAGAGGGUCGUGGAAUUCCCAGUGUAGAGGUGAAAUUCGUAGAUAUUGGGAAGAACACCGGUGGCGAAGGCGGCGACCUGGUCCGAUACUGACGCUGAGGCGCGAAAGCGUGGGGAGCAAACAGG